ACCAGCAGUGCAUAACAAAGUAGCAAGCAAUAAAGAUAAGAGAGCCCUACAGAUAAGCUGGUCCUUUUAGGCUGUGAUUUAACUUGUGAGGAAUGCUGCUCAAUCAGUUUUGUGACUUCUUUAGCCUACAGCAGGUGAAGCGGUGUAGCUGGGACCCGAGUGUGUGGGAAACCAAGUUGUUAUCGGAGGUCAGACGAACCCUGAAGCAGCGAGGAAUUCAAAAACAAGAAUUGUCAGCAUCUUUCAACCAUUCGUUUACAACUCCUCCGAUGGCAGAACACAGCUUGGUAACGGAGAAAGUCAGGAGGGAAACUCCCACGUUGGUUAAGGUUUCAACCAGCGCAGCAUCUGAUCAGAUGGAAUCAGUCAUUCAAUCAAAACACCCAGCAGUCCUAUGACGACUGUAGAAAAGGUGAUUGGCCGGCAGCUGACUUGCUGUGCAGUUCCAGAGAUAACGACCCAGAUGUCCGCUGACUGGACGGAGGGAAUGCCUCAUCCUUACCUUCCUCAUGUUCUCCAGCUCAUGCUGUUUGGCCUCGUUUGCUGUCUGCAGCUCCCUCAUCCU